UACAGAGGUGGCGAGCGUUAUUCGGAAUUAUUGGGCGUAAAGGGCGCGUAGGCGGCUUGCCAAGUCCCGGGUGAAAUCCCUCGGCUCAACCGAGGAACUGCCUUGGAAACUGUCUGGCUUGAGGCCGGGAGAGGGUAGUGGAAUUCCCAGUGUAGCGGUGAAAUGCGUAGAUACUGGGAGGAACACCGGUGGCGAAGGCGGCUACCUGGACCGGUUCUGACGCUGAGGCGCGAAAGCGUGGGUAGCAAACAGG
rnacentral:rRNA from 1 species